GGCGAACGGGUGAGUAACGCGUGAGCAACCUGACUCUUAGAGGGGGAUAACACUCGGAAACGAGUGCUAAUACCGCAUAAGACCACGACAUGGCAUCAUGACGAGGUCAAAGGAGCAAUCCGCUGAGAGAGGGGCUCGCGUCCCAUUAGAUAGAUGGCGGGGUAACGGCCCACCAUGUCAACGAUGGGUAGCCGAGCUGAGAGGCUGAUCGGCCACACUGGAACUGAGACACGGUCCAGACUCCUACGGGAGGCAGCAGUGGGGAAUAUUGGGCAAUGGGCGCAAGCCUGACCCAGCAACGCCGCGUGAGGGAAGAAGGCUUUCGGGUUGUAAACCUCUGUCCUUGGUGACGAAAAAAAUGACGGUAGCCAAGGAGGAAGCCCCGGCUAACUACGUGCCAGCAGCCGCGGUAAUACGUAGGGGGCGAGCGUUGUCCGGAAUUACUGGGCGUAAAGGGUGCGUAGGUGGCCUUUUAAGUUGGAUGUGAAAUACCCGGGCUUAACCUGGGGGGUGCAUCUAAUACUGGGAGGCUAGAGUGCAGGAGAGGAAAGCGGAAUUCCUAGUGUAGCGGUGAAAUGCGUAGAUAUUAGGAGGAACACCAGUGGCGAAGGCGGCUUUCUGGACUGUAACUGACACUGAGGCACGAAAGCGUGGG
rnacentral:rRNA from 1 species